rnacentral:lncRNA from 1 species
CUCAGGCUUCGAGUGGAUGACCUGUAGAGGCCGGAUGAUCUAUGCGGCUACUUGACAUUAGAAAAAAUCUCAUACCAUACCUAUUAGUAGUAGAAAUCAUCAAUCUACAUAAAGAUAAAUAAAUUCUAAACUCAAUCGAUGAGAUCUAACAGUUAGAUCUGAUUCAAGGCAUUGAUGUGAUCGAUAAAGUUUUUCAUUUACAUCAAUUU